rnacentral:lncRNA from 1 species
GUGUGUGGCAUCUCUCCGAACCCUCUCGACCAUCCGGACUUCUCCGACAAUGAGCUUCUCCAUCCAUCUACCGUGUCGCUCCAAAGGUUCUCUAGGCCUCACUGUCAGCCGACCUUCUACAGUGAUCAACUAUUCUCCGAACUCCUUUCGAACUUCGUCAAUAUCCGAGCUUCUUCGACAACAAGAUUUCUACAGUAAUCAGACUCCAUUCAAGCUUCUACAGCGAUCGACCGCCUUCAGAAUUCCAAUCGGGCUCCUGUGAGAGCCGAACUUCUACUACGGGCGGUCUACUCCGAACUUCUACUACAAACAGUCUACUCC